rnacentral:lncRNA from 1 species
UUGCGGUGGGUCCGGUUAGGAGGGAAUGAUGGGUGGAUACUCCAACCUGCAUCUUGUAAUGUGGUUGGAGAAGACUGAGAGGAAGGGGGG